UCCCUAUUUAUUUAGCUUUGUCAAACACUUCUCAUAAGUCAUAAGUUAAGCUUAAAAUUUUUAGAAACUCAAUUCACCCCCCCUCUUGGGUUGCAUAGCUGGGCAACAUCCUUGUAUUAGUGUCACCACAUAAGUGAUUGUGAGAUCAACCACCCUCUUCAUCGAGCAUAUAUAGGAUGUACCAGUCUUAUCGAUAUUAUUAAUCUCUGAUUCAAUGAAUCAAUGACUAAAAAUAUUUUAGAU
rnacentral:lncRNA from 1 species